CCCCCCCCUCAUGUCCCCACAGAGCCCACCAGCACCCUGGACGUGGCCCUUUCUGCAGAAGGACAGACGCCAGAGCCCGUCAGCCCGGCCAAGCUGGAGGCCUCCGGAGAGAGUGAUCUCACCACCUCGGCACAGCGCCUGGGCAAAGGUAGGGCUGGGCUGGGGGCGAGAGGGCACAGGGACCCCCACCCUGGGCACAGGGACCCUCCAAAAUGGGCACAGACCCCCACCCUGGGCACAGGGACCCUCUGAGACAGGCACAGCCCCCCACCCUGAGCACAGGCACCCUCCAACAUGGGCAGAGACCCCCACCCUGGGCACAGAGACCCUCCAAAAUGGGCACAGACCCCUGUCCUGCCUGUGUGGACCCCCACCCUGGGCACAGGGACCCAUUGACACGGGCACAGGGACCCCCCACCCUGGGCACAGACCCCUGCCCUGGGCACAGAGACCCUCCAAAAUGGGCACAGACCCCUGUCCUGCCUGUGUGGACCCCCACCCUGGGCACAGGGACCCUCCAACACGGGCACAGCCCCCCACCCUGUGACAAGACCCCAAGCAGUGCACUCACAGCC